GACGGAGGGGCAAGCGGUUGUUCGGAAUUAUUGGGCGUGAAAGGGCUACGGUAGGCUGGCGUGGUAAGUCGUGGCGUGAAAUCUCCACCGCUCAACCGGGGAGAGGCCGCUGGAUACUGCACGUCUGGAGUUCGGCAGAGGACCAUGGAAUUUCGGGGUGUAGCGGUGGAAUGCGUAGAUAGUCCGAAAAGAACACCGGUGGCGAAGGCGGUGGAUCUGGGCCUGAACUGGACGCGUGAGGAGGCGAAAGCCAGGGGAGCAAAGCGGG
rnacentral:rRNA from 1 species